ensembl:lncRNA
AUGAACUCUCAGAUCAGUGCUGCCGGGACCAGCCAGGACCAGAUGAGACUGUUGUUCAAGGCCCUAGAAGAAGCAGAAGACAGAACAAGGUUGAAAUCAGACUUUCACAGGACUCUACUGGAUCUGGAACCUGAACUAGUCUAUCACCUGAGUAAGAACCUCUCUACCUCUGGUUACAUAUCACUGGAAUAUAAACCUUAUCUAGUCUAUCACCUGAGUAAGAACCUCUCUACCUCUGGUUACAUAUCACUGGAAUAUAAACCUUAUCUAGUCUAUCACCUGGGUAAAAACCUCUCUACCUCUGGUUACAUAUCACUGGAAUAUAAACCUUAUCUAGUCUAUCACCUGGGUAAGAACCUCUCUACUGGCUGUACUGGGUAGAGAGGAACCAGGCUCUGAGGGGUGACCAGUCCUCUACUGGCUGUACUGGGUAGACCAGAGGAACCAGGCUCUGAGGAGGUACCAGCAGGGUUUGAUAAUAACAUGAUGGUUUUAUGUGUCAACAUUUCUCCUAACUGACUGUUUUUUCUUAUCAUCCACAGGUGGAUAUUACUCAUUUAGUAAGUAGUGUGUUUGUGUCUGAUGUUCCUACCUGUCUGUCUUUGUUCCUGUCCGUCUGUUUUGGUUGCAAGAUGAAUUUAUAUUACCUCCCUCUAAAUAAAUACUGUAUAUUUUAUAUUCAUAUUUUUAACCUUUUUUAACUAGGAAAGUCAGUUCAGAACAAAUUGUUAUUGACAUAGACGGCCUACCAAAAGGCUAAAGGCCUCCUGCUGGGACGGGGGCUGGGAUUAAAAAUACAAUACAAAUAUAGGACAAAACACACAUCACGACAAGAGAGACAACACAACACUACAUACAGAGAGACCUAAGACAACAACACAGCAUGGUGACAACACAGCAUGGUAGCAACACAUGACAACACAGCAUGGUAGAAACACAUGACAACACAGCAUGGUAGCAACACAGCAUGGUAGCAACACAGCAUGGUAGCAACACAUGACAACACAGCAUGGCAGCAACACAUGACAACACAGCAUGGUAGCAACACAGCAUGGUAGCAACACAUGACAACACAGCAUUGUAGCAACACAUGACAACACAGCAUGGCAGCAACACAUGACAACACAGCAUGGUAGCUACACAUAACAACACAGCAUGGUAGCUACACAGCAUGGCAGCAACACAUGACAACACAGCAUGGUAGCAACACAUGACAACACAGCAUGGUAGCUACACAUGACAACACAGCAUGGUAGCUACACAGCAUGGCAGCAACACAUGACAACACAGCAUGGUAGCAACACAUGACAAUACAGCACGGUAGCAACACAUGACAACACAGCAUGGUAGCAACACAUGACAACACAGCAUGGUAGCAACACAGCAUGGUAGCAACACAGCAUGGUAGCAACACAUGACAACACAGCGUGGUAGCAACACAUGACAAUACAGCACGGUAGCAACACAUGACAAUACAGCAUGGUAGCAACACAGCAUGGUAGCAACACAUGACAACACAGCGUGGUAGCAACACAUGACAACACAGCGUGGUAGCAACACAUGACAACACAGCGUGGUAGCAACACAUGAC